GUGCUCACUUCGGCAACAUAUAUCUUCGACACAGAGAAGAUUAGCGUGGUCCCUGCCCGAGGAUGACACACACAUUCAUGAAAGGCUCCAUAUUUUU
ensembl:snRNA U6 U6 spliceosomal RNA